rnacentral:lncRNA from 1 species
AUGCAGACAUUUAGGUGGAGAGACUGGACUUCAUGCCCUCAUGGCAGCUGUAAUUUGGAAGUCAAAUGCAGCAGGGCACACUUAGAGCUGAUCCGUGAUUCCCGCACAGAGAGCCAAGAUAGAGUUUUGCUCUUGUUGUCCAGGCUGGAGUGCAAUAGCACAAUCUCGGCUCACUACAACCUCCGCCUCCUGGGUUCAAGUGAUUCUCCUGCCUUAGCCUCCUGAAUAGCUGGGAUUACAGAUGUGUGCCACCAUGCCUGGCUGAGUUUUGUAUGCUUUGUUGAGACAGGGGUUUGCAUGUUGGCCAGGCUGGUCUUGAACUCCUUGACCUCAGGUGAGCCACCUGUAUCAGCCUCGCGAAAUACUGGGAUUAUAGGCAUGAGCUGCUGUGCCUGGCCAAGACCUCAUUUAUUGCUGGGAGGAGCAGCAAAGCCACAUGACCAAGGGGUGAGAAUACAGGGAAUCAUGAACCACGUCGGGGGAGGGCGUCAC